AGUUUUUUUUUUAAUUAUUAUUCCAGCAAACAUUACACUAGAGAAAAUGGGAAAAUCCAAACAGAUUCAUUAAAAACACAGACCGAUUAUUCAUAUCUAUUACAUUCAAAAGUAUGCAAAACCAUUUAGUUAUAUUGCAAAGCUGUAACUCUUUUUCUAACAAAGCAUUAUUUUAUAAAACUGUAGUGGUGCCAUUGAUUCAAUUUUUAUACAAAAUACUUAUAUACACAAUACAAUAAAAAAGUAAACCAUGUAGUGCCUUCCACAAAGGGAUAUAUUAAGGCGCUUUACAAAUAUACCACUAUGUUGAUCCAGAUUACUUUUUGCUUUAGAUUAAAAUGAACAGGCUAAAUGCUUCAUUUAAAUACCAAAGAGAUCUUUAUUAAAGAGAAAUUUCUAAAGUACCUUAGGUAACAGCAGCAGCAAUGUCUAAAAAUCCUCCCACUGUAUUCUCUAAUUCCUAACAUAUUAAGUCAGAAUAAUCAGAAUAAAACAUUUUCACUCACAGUUUUGCACUUUGCAACAGCAGAAGGUAAUAACUUUUUAAAAAAGUCAAUCUCAAAGUGACUCCUUAGUCAUACAUUCUAUAGUUUCUAGUACAAAUAAGAAGGUAGGAAAGAUACAGCAACAGGGCCUGCCUUAGGGUGUCAUGAGACAAUACAUAACAGUAUCUACAAUUACAUAAUUAUAGAACACAUUUCAUAAAUACUAUGGAUAUACAUAAAAAGGGGUAAGUAUAAGAAAGACAGCAAGUUUUUUUAAUAACAAACUUUAAAAAAAGAAAACAUGUAGAACCAAUGUUUUCACUCCAUUUUGAUCAGGAGUACCUAGAUAUUUUAAUGUCAUUCUCAUUUUUUUUUUUUGGUCAGAAAGCACCAGACUGCAUACUGGAAGAACUGGAUGUAAUUUGUGAAUAAGAGCGCUAAUAAUAAUAUAUCCAAACAAUUAAAAUUACAGCUAUCAAAGGCUUGUAUUCUGCUUCAGAUAAACACAAAAAGCUUAUACUGUCAAAGGAAAUUUCAAAAGAAUACAAAACGUAUAUUGUUUGUUAAGUUGGAGGAAAAGGGACAAUACAGAUUUUGUGGGGAGGGAGGAGGAAGACAGCACCUUAGUUUUCCUACAAUGUAAUGUAACAAAGCUGACUUUCUACUGUAUUGCACCAUAGUCAAGAAGUAAAACAACUAAAUGAA